rnacentral:rRNA from 1 species
CCUGCUCACUGUUAUUAAAGAGCCGCAGUAUUAUGACUGUGCUAAGGUAGCAUAAUAAUUUGUUUCUUAAUUAGAGACUAGUAUGAAGGGGUAAACGAGGUUAUAACUUUCUUAAUUAAUUAAAUAGAAUUUUAUCUUUAAGUGAAAAAGCUUAAAUGUUUUUAAAAGACGAGAAGACCCUGAGAAUUAUUGUUUUAAUUAUAUAAAAACUGUUAAUAUAAUUUAUUUAUAUAAUAAAACUUAACUGGGGCGGUUUAUAAAUAUUUAAAAACUUUAUAAUUUAUUUAACUAAUUUAUAGAAUAAUUGAAGUUUUAAUAAUUUAAUUGAAAAAUUACCUCAGGGAUAACAGCGUAAUUUUUGUUUAAAGUCCUUAUAGUAAUAAAAGUUUGCGACCUCGAUGUUGGAUUAAAAUACGUAUUAAAGUAGUAUUUAAUAUUAAAGGUCUGUUCGAC